rnacentral:rRNA from 1 species
AACAGGAUUAGAUACCCUGGUAGUCCACGCCGUAAACGAUGUCGACUUGGAGGUUGUGCCCUUGAGGCGUGGCUUCCGGAGCUAACGCGUUAAGUCGACCGCCUGGGGAGUACGGCCGCAAGGUUAAAACUCAAAUGAAUUGACGGGGGCCCGCACAAGCGGUGGAGCAUGUGGUUUAAUUCGAUGCAACGCGAAGAACCUUACCUACUCUUGACAUCCAGAGAACUUAGCAGAGAUGCUUUGGUGCCUUCGGGAACUCUGAGACGGGUGCUGCAUGGCUGUCGUCAGCUCGUGUUGUGAAAUGUUGGGUUAAGUCCCGCAACGAGCGCAACCCUUAUCCUUUGUUGCCAGCGGUUAGGCCGGGAACUCAAAGGAGACUGCCAGUGAUAAACUGGAGGAAGGUGGGGAUGACGUCAAGUCAUCAUGGCCCUUACGAGUAGGGCUACACACGUGCUACAAUGGCAUAUACAAAGAGAAGCGACCUCGCGAGAGCAAGCGGACCUCAUAAAGUAUGUCGUAGUCCGGAUUGGAGUCUGCAACUCGGCUCCAUGAAGUCGGAAUCGCUAGUAAUCGUGGAUCAGAAUGCCACGGUGAAUACGUUCCCGGGCCUUGUACACACCGCCCGUCACACCAUGGGAGUGGGUUGCAAAAGAAGUAGGUAGCUUAACCUUCGGGAGGGCGCUUACCACUUUGUGAUUCAUGACUGGGGUGAAGUCGUAACAAGGUAACC